AGCGGGGUAGGGCAGGCUGGAGUGCCCGCCGGGCUCAUAACCCGGAGGUCGGAGGUUCAAAUCCCCCUCCCGCUA
rnacentral:tRNA from 1 species